rnacentral:rRNA from 1 species
UGCGUAGGUGGUUUCUUAAGUCAGAGGUGAAAGGCUACGGCUCAACCGUAGUAAGCCUUUGAAACUGGGAAACUUGAGUGCAGGAGAGGAGAGUGGAAUUCCAUGUGUAGCGGUGAAAUGCGUAGAUAUAUGGAGGAACACCGGUGGCGAAAGCGGCUCUCUGGCCUGUAACUGACACUGAGGCUCGAAAGCGUGGGAGCAAACA